CCUUGACAAGCUUAUGAAAAUCAAGGAAGUGAAGAAGUGAGAAAAGCAAGCUCAGAGGAUAUCCUUUCUGUGCAUCCCGAAUGCCUUCACAUUACUUCCCAAGUACUCUUCUUACCUUGGCUUAGCGAUGAGAGCAUGGAAAUGAUGUUUCUCUGGUGAUCCUUUUUGCUGUUGUAAGUUGGAAUUUAUUUUUAAAGCAGUGUUUGAAAGAAAUCUGUAUGCUUAACACAAACUGCCUCUCCAAAUCUCUUCUGUAAUGAGUUCUAUGCAGCAAUAACAUUUCCUAAAGGUAUGUGCAUACUUACAAAACACUGCUUUAACCAUUUGGCUAUAAGGGCUUAAUCUGUCUCUAUUAUGUUGCCUACUCAGAGUUUGUGAAGUGGCUUCUGACAUUUCUUUGUGUUAGGUCUGGUUUAUGAAGUGCUUCUCUGAAUGAAUAGUGACUCUGCAUCGAGUGCUGUGCAAAACACGGGGAGGGGAGGUGAUCUAAGCACCCAAGAGCCGAACCAGAAUUCUUCAUGCACCCAAGACAAGCCACUGACAUUGUGCUGGAAGCUUUGUUUGCAAAGAAUAAUGCUGGAUUGCACUAUAAGCAAUGGCUCUUUGCCAAACAAUACACACGUUUCUCUUGGCAUGAAAUCAUGUAAUAUAAACAAUGGCAGGGAAAAAAUAGUUUGUGGAUAAGCAUAAGCUGAGAUAUAAAAAC
ensembl:lncRNA